CCAGUGGCGAAGGCGGCUUUCUAUCACACUACGGACGCUCAUGCACGAAAGCUAGGGGAGCAAACGGGAUUAGAUACCCCGGUAGUCCUAGCCGUAAACGAUGUAUACUUGGUGUUAGGAGCAUCGACCCUUCUAGCGCCGAAGCUAACGCGUUAAGUAUACCGCUUGGGGAGUACGGCCGCAAGGCUAAAACUCAAAGAAAUUGACGGGGGCCCGCACAAGCGGUGGAGCAUGUGGUUUAAUACGACGCAACGCGUAGAACCUUACCAGGGCUUGACAUGUAUGUGACAGUCUAUGAAAGUAGAUCUUCCUUCGGGACAGAUACACAGGUGUUGCAUGGCUGUCGUCAGCUCGUGUCGUGAGAUGUUGGGUUAAGUCCCGCAACGAGCGCAACCCAUGUCCUUAGUUGCCAGCACGUAAUGGUGGGAACUCUAGGGAGACUGCCUCGGUCAACGGGGAGGAAGGUGUGGAUGACGUCAAGUCAGUACGGCCCUUACGCCCUGGGGCUACACACGUGCUACAAUGGUCGGUACAAAGAGUCGCAAGACCGCAAGGUGGAGCUAAUCUCAAAAAGCCGAUCUCAGUUCGGAUUGGAGUCUGCAAUUCGACUCCAUGAAGCUGGAAUCGCUAGUAAUGGCGCAUCACCUACGCCGCACGUGAUACGUUCCCGGGCAUUGACACACCGCCCGUCACAUCACCCGAGCUGGGUGCACCCGAAGUCGC
rnacentral:rRNA from 1 species